AACUGAAUUGGAUUGGAGGAUAUCCAGCUGGUAUCCGCUGGAGAAUUGCCAGAUGUGUGAGAAAACAACCCCCACACAUCUGGUGUCAGUAUUGUGUUGAGUGACUGAGUGAGGAUUUGAGAGGGAAAGAGAAGGGCAGACAGGGACCAGAUACCCAAGGGUUUUCUAUGGCAGCCAAGGCAAGGCCAGAAAAGUCUGGAUUUGAAGUGUGAAUGGAAACUAUUGAGAGUUUUGAAGCUUGGAGACCAGUUCUGAAGCCACUGCAAGGUCUCUGUGGUAAAAACUAUGGUGGCUUACAUUAGGGUGUAGCAAGAAAGAUGAAGUAACUUGGUCUGUUCUAGAAGUCAAGUUGAUAGGACUCAAUGAUGGACUUGUGGGGGAGGGGGAUCAAGGAAAGAGGUUUUAAAAGUGAAAUGUUAGUUUGUGCCCAGAACAACUGGGUGGAUAGUACUGAUACAGGGAAGACUGGGGAAGUGACAGGGAUUUCUAAUCUAAGGGAGGGGCUUUUUCCGAAUGGGAGAAGGAGGUAUUCAACUACUACACUUAUUUUAUCUAGUUUAACCCUUAAAAUAACUCCAUGUGUUGAUGGCACUAUUACUACACCUACUUCACAAUGGGACAAACUGAAGUUAAGCAAUUACCCACAAAUCCACACCUAGUAAAUAACAGACCAGGGAAUCAACUCCAGAAAAUACACUGCUUCCCUCACAGCUCUCAUCCUUCAAACAGGACCAAAGAUUGCUUUAGGGCCACUGUAGAUCCAGAACAAGAAAAUAAAGGAGGAACUACAUGGUAUAUGGCUGGAGUAGAAGAAUAAGAAAUUAACUGUGAUCAGGUGAGGUGUUCCCAAGACCAGGAAGCAAUCCAAAAGUUUCAGAAGCAUAGAAGAGGCACAUUCAACUCUCAGGAGAAACUCUUUAAAGCAUCAAGAGGCCUCAUUAACAUACGGUGUCCCAGCAACCAAUCACACGCUGAGUUCUGCGCGCGUCCGAGUCUCUCCUAACCCCCGGGGAGCUGCGAUUACUCACCCAACACAGCAGGCGCCACCUAGGAUCCGCAAAGGAAAAGUUAUUCGUGCCGCGGGCGCGCAUCGGCGUGGAUGGCCUCCUGCCUGCUAAAGAAGUGAGCCGAUAAUGAUCGCGCUACUGCACUCCAGCCUGCGAGGGCGACCGAGCUAGACUCCUUUCAUUAAAAAAAAAAGCUGACUUGGAGAGACCAGGUUUCCUUUUCCUUGAAAGAGAGAGCAGGAAAGAGAGAUGAAAGAGAAGAGACCAAGAGAAAUAGUGUACACGUCGAACACCAUAUGAUAAUCCUAACCACUAUGUUUUAUUGAAUGUCUACUCGCUGGUAGGAACCCCUUAGAUGACUCAGCUACCCUCUGUGGAGUCUACUUGUCCCACCAACUGGUAGAAGUGUGGCUAAUCCAACUGCUAGUCUCCUAUGCUCACCCAGCCAUCACGGACUGCUCCAAGUAGGAGGCAGAUGGCAGUCAUCCUGAUCCCUAAAGUCCAGAGACAGGGUCUCACUCUUGUCACCCAAGCUAAAGGACAAUGGUGUGAUGAUGACAGCUCUCACUAUAACCUCGAACUCCUCAACUCAAGUGAUCCUCCCACCUUAGCCUCUGGAGUACCUGAGAUUACCAGUGCAUGCCACCAUGGCCAGCUAAGUUUCUACUUUUUUUUAUUUUUUGUAGAUAUGAGGUCUAUAUUGCCAGGAGAGUCUUGAACUGCUGGCCUCAAGUGAUCCUCCUGCCUUGGCCUCCCAAAGUGCUGAGUUUACAGGCAUGAGCUACCCAGCACCCAGCCUGAAAACCUUUUAAAGAAUCCUUUCUACUGAAACCUUCACCCUCACCUCACUAUCUUCUCUUAGCCCCAAAGUAAGUGGUGGGGGUUGAAGGUCCAAGGACCAUGUUCUAAGAAGCCUUGAAUUAGACGGUAGGGGAUUUUUUUCACCUCUUAUUCUCCAUUCUGAGGCUUUAGAUGGAAUUCCCAGACAUAGACCAAGUCCUGUUCCAUAUCCAGUUACAGCUGUUAACCCCAUCCCUCACUCUAGCUGAAUAUCAAGAAUUUGAAGAUGUAGCAUGUUCAGGAGAUGCCUAGGAGAUAACAAAUGUUGUAAAACUCUGCUUCUCACACUGGAGGAUAUGGAUAGACAUGUCACUAGAAGUCACAGCGUACCUAUAUUGAACAUCAAUGUUUAUGUGAAAACACACAUGGAUAUGUUAUGGAAUGAAAUGCUAAAUUUUGACAUAAAAAAACCCCAGGAUCUUUUACAUCAAUUAUUGAGUUCACAGUGAGAUAUUUUACCUACACACCCUAGGGGUGACGCAUGGAAAAUUUUGAGAACUUUUUGAGGGAUGACCUAUUCUGUGGGAUAGCUGGAUCCUAGAAAAGGUUACCCUUUCUAGAAGUCUUUAGGAAGCUGCUGAAACAGGUGAAGAAACAAACACUGAGGAGAGAAACCAGGUCACCCUGACUGUUUCACAAACCAGGAAAGAGAAGCUUCGUAAGCCUCACCUUUAAAAAAGGAGAGGAGAGGAUUCAGCAGGACUUCUGAUCACACUGAAAAUAGCAGGUCUGGAUCUCUAGAUCAGGAGCCAGAACCAGGAGAGGUUUUGUUUGUAUAUGGGUUUUGUUUUAUUUGUUCUUCUGAAGACUGCCUGAGCUAUGUUUGCUAUUUCUGUCUAUCCUGUAGGGCUGAGCUGCCAGUAGCCUCCAGCAAGAAAAUCCUGGAAACAAAAAGCACUGAGUGGAAAUAAAGAGCAAUAAAGGGCAGCACAGUGAAAGCUGGCCUACUCAGUCAACUGCAGGCCUCAAGGGACUCAAUGGAUGGAGCAGAUUUGACAGAGAAAAUGGAAUCAGGCAGAAUCAAAGGUGGGAAGAUUGAGAGAAACAUUAGGAGCCUAGCAGUUGGAAGACCCUGUGGUUCCCUAGCACAAAAUAAAACAAAACAGUAUCCAAACAGGGAUUUAUGACUUCUAUUGAACAACAUGAGUACACUGGUAGAGAUUAUCAAAUCUCUAAAUUUAACAUCUAGACUUCCCCAAGAACCCAUUCAUAGUUUUAUGAUGUCCCUGGUUCUCCUAUGAAUGCUAUUCAGAAAUGUGGACCAAGUUGCAUCUCCCAUCUCAAUAUGG